rnacentral:rRNA from 1 species
AGUCUGGUGCCAGCAGCCGCGGUAAUUCCAGCUCCAAUAGCGUAUAUUAAAGUUGUUGCAGUUAAAAAGCUCGUAGUUGAAAUUUUGAUUGUAGCGGUCAGUCUCACAACAGUGAGUGCUAGAUGUGCUGUGGUCAUGUUUCGUUGGAACGUGUGUGGCAUUGAGUUGUCGUGCAUGGGAAGACGAUCGUUUACUGUGAAAAAAUUAGAGUGUUCAAAGCAGGCUUAUGCCGUUGAAUAUAUUAGCAUGGAAUAAUAAGAUAGGACCAGGGUACUAUUUUGUUGGUUUGUGCACCUUGGUAAUGAUUAAUAGGGACAGUUGGGGAUAUUCGUAUUGCGGUGUCAGAGGUGAAAUUCUUGGAUUUCCGCAAGACGAGCUACUGCGAAAGCAUUUAUCAAGGAUGUUUUCAUUAAUCAAGAACGAAAGUUAGGGGAUCGAAGAUGAUUAGAUACCAUCGUAGUCUUAACCAUAAACUAUGCCGACAAGGGAUUGGCAGGGUGUGUUUAUGCCUCUGUCAGCACCUUAGGAGAAAUCAUAAGUUUUUGGGUUCCGGGGGGAGUAUGGUCGCAAGGCUCAAACUUAAAGACAUUGACGGAAGGGCACCACCAGGAGUGGAGCCUGCGGCUUAAUUUGACCCAACACGGGAAAACUUACCAGGUCCAGACAUAGUGAGGAUUGACAGAUUGAGAGCUCUUUCUUGAUUCUAUGGGUGGUGGUGCAUGGCCGUUCUUAGUUGGUGGAGUGAUUUGUCUGGUUAAUUCCGUUAACGAACGAGACCCCCGCCUGCUAAAUAGAUGGUCUAGUGAUUUUUCACUGGAAACAUCUUCUUAGAGGGACGUGCGUUCUAUUAGACGCAGGAAGAUGGGGGCAAUAACAGGUCUGUGAUGCCCUUAGAUGUCCUGGGCCGCACGCGCGCUACACUGAUGCAUUCAACGAGUUGCCUUCACCGAGAGGUGUGGGAAAUCUUGGAAUGUGCAUCGUGAUAGGGAUAGAUUCUUGUAAUUUUUAAUCUUGAACGAGGAAUUCCUAGUAAACGCAGAUCAUCAAUCUGCAUUGAUUACGUCCCUGCCCUUUGUACACACCGCCCGUCGCACCUACCGAUUGAAUGGUCCGGUGAAGCCUCGGGAUUGUGAUGACUUUUCUUCAUUGAGAGGUCGUUGCGAGAACUUGUCUAAACCUUAUCAUUUAGAGGAAGGUGAAGUC